GUGACUGUAGCUCAGUUGGUUAGAGCGUCCGGUUGUGGUCCGGAAGGUCAUGGGUUCGAACCCCAUCAGUCACCCCA
rnacentral:tRNA from 5 species